rnacentral:antisense_RNA from 1 species
CACCUCAGCGGGGCAGGCGCUAGACGCCGGCUGGAUUUGGAACAGGGGCUGGCCGAGCGCUCGCGGGGGAAGCACAGGGGUCGAAUGUCGGGGGACGUUCGACCCCUUUUUU